CCUACGGGAGGCAGCAGUGGGGAAUAUUGGGCAAUGGGCGCAAGCCUGACCCAGCAACGCCGCGUGAAUGAAGAAGGCUUUCGGGUUGUAAACUUCUUUUCUCAGGGACGAAGAAGGUGACGGUACCGGAGGAAUAAGCCACGGCUAACUACGUGCCAGCAGCCGCGGUAAGACGUAGGUGGCAAGCGUUAUCCGGAUUUAUUGGGUGUAAAGGGCGUGUAGGCGGUAGCGCAAGUCAGAUGUGAAAACUCAGGGCUCAACCCUGGGCCUGCAUUUGAAACUGUGUUUCUUGAGUGCAGGAGAGGCAAUCGGAAUUCCGUGUGUAGCGGUGAAAUGCGUAGAUAUACGGAGGAACACCAGUGGCGAAGGCGGAUUGCUGGACAGUAACUGACGCUGAGGCGCGAAAGCGUGGGGAGCAAACAGGAUUAGAUACCCCAGUAGUC
rnacentral:rRNA from 1 species